GACGAACGCUGGCGGCGUGCUUAACACAUGCAAGUCGAACGGAAAGGCCCGGCUUUUGUGCGGUGCUCGAGUGACGAACGGGUGAGUAACACGUGAGUAACCUGCCCUUGACUUUGGGAUAACUUCAGGAAACUGGGGCUAAUACCGCAUAGGAGCUCCUGUUGCAUGGUGUGUGUUGGAAAGUUUCGGCGGUUGGGGAUGGACUCGCGGCUUCUCAGUUUGUUGGUGGGGUAGUGGCUUAGCAAGGCUUGGACGGGUAGCCGGCCUGGGAGGGAGACCGGCCACAUUGGGACUGAGGUGCGGCCAGGACUGCUACGGGGGGCAGCAGUGGGGAAUAGUGCGAAAUGGGCGGAAGCCGGAAGCAGCAACGCCGCGUGCGAGAUGACGGCCUUAGGGGUGUAAAACGCUUGCGCCUGGAAAGAAGCCUGAGUGACGGUAAUGGGUAAAGAAGCGCCGGCUAACUACGUG
rnacentral:rRNA from 1 species